rnacentral:lncRNA from 1 species
UGCGCCAUGUGCUGGCAGUGGUGGAGAAGCCUCGCCACCAGCGACUCCCCCUUGGGUUUGUUCUCCGCCGCGCCGCCGCCCUCGCCACUGCCGCCGCCUAGACACGCACACAGCAUCACUAACACCAAACUCCUAAAUCACCCCGCAAAAACCAAUCGACAAGAUCGAGCAGAAGUGAAGAACAAGCAUCCAAGACUCCAAACGACGAACCUUGGGGCUUCUUGCCGCUCUUGCCGCUGUCAUCAACGACGUCCACGCUGGAGCAUUUGGCAGGUGGAGGAGAAGGGGAUCACGAUGAACCGGUCCAUCUGCUUCUUCUCCUUGCCACUACUACUCAUGGCUAGCUAGCCACUGCUAGCUAAGCUGAUACUAUCUUCGAAUCAAAUCGCUUGCCGCUUUUGGCUGAACCUGUACUGGUAUGAUCAUUUCUAGUAAAAGAAAUGGGGGUCUUGACCCUUGCUCAAAAAAAAAAAUCUUGGAAUCAAAUCAAUGUCUGCGACAGCGGC